rnacentral:antisense_RNA from 1 species
CUUCAGCGACCCCAGCCACAGCGGAUAGCCGCGGUUCUUGCCGUAGGUGGCGAGCAGGGCCUGCGCCUC